rnacentral:rRNA from 1 species
GUGGGGAAUAUUCCGCAAUGGACGAAAGUCUGACGGAGCAACGCCGCGUGAGUGAUGAAGGUUUUCGGACUGUAAAGCUCUGUUGUUUAGGACGAAAGUGCCUGUUGCAAAUAGUUACGGGUAUUGACGGUACUGAACGAGGAAGCCACGGCUAACUACGUGCCAGCAGCCGCGGUAAUACGUAGGUGGCAAGCGUUGUCCGGAAGUAUUGGGCGUAAAGAGCAUGUAGGCGGGAAUCUAAGUCUGUUGUGAAAAUGCGGGGCUCAACCCCGUAUUGCGAUGGAAACUGGGUUUCUUGAGUGCAGGAGAGGAAAGGGGAAUUCCCAGUGUAGCGGUGAAAUGCGUAGAUAUUGGGAGGAACACCAGUGGCGAAGGCGCCUUUCUGGACUGUGUCUGACGCUGAGAUGCGAAAGCCAGGGUAGCGAACGGGAUUAGAAACCCGAGUAGUCC